rnacentral:rRNA from 1 species
UACGUAGGCAGCAAGCGUUGUUCGGAAUUACUGGGCGUAAAGAGUGUGUAGGCGGUGCUCUAAGUCUGUUGUGAAAUCUCCCGGCUUAACUGGGAGGGUGCGGCGGAAACUGGAGUGCUCGAGGGUGGGAGAGGUAAGCGGAAUUCCUGGUGUAGCGGUGAAAUGCGUAGAUAUCAGGAGGAACACCUGUGGUGUAGACAGCUUACUGGACCACUUCUGACGCUGAGACACGAAAGCGUGGGUAGCAAACAGG